rnacentral:rRNA from 1 species
UACGUAGGUGACAAGCGUUGUCCGGAUUUACUGGGCGUAAAGAGCGCGCAGGCGGUCGAUCAAGUCGAGUGUGAAAGCCCCCGGCUCAACUGGGGAGGGUCAUUCGAAACUGGUCGACUCGAAGGCAGGAGAGGGUAGUGGAAUUCCCGGUGUAGUGGUGAAAUGCGUAGAUAUCGGGAGGAACACCAGUGGCGAAGGCGACUCACUGGCCGUCUGUACGCUGAGGCUGCGAAAGCGUGGGGAGCAAACAGG